AGCUCUGAAGAAGGCCUGCCCAGAGACAUCGAUGCCAUGCUGAAGAGCCUGCUGACAGCAACCCCCAGCACAGACAGACUUCAGCACAUCUUGGAGCCUCUCACACAGAUGUACCCUGCAGCAGCCCAGCUGAGGGAGCAGUGUGGACAGGUGAUCUCAUCCUGUCAAACCAAGCAACAUGGGUCUCAUUGAGGCUCAGAUGGAAGAUCCCAUGCAUCUCCUGGAGAGGAUGUGUCCAGGAUCCUGGAUAAUGUUUUCUGCAGGAGGUUUGAGCAGGGAGAGAUCACUUACUAUCUUCAACCGGGGUCUGCAGGGUUCAUGGGAGCAGCCACACUCCAAUCCUCCACCUGGAAGUCUACUGAAAAUUGCUUACCUAGGACCCAUGAAGUUCAGCCCCAGUUUGAGGCUCUAUGCCUGAGAUCCUAUUGGAGGAGUCCCAAAGAAGCUAAUUGGCCCACUGGCCCUGCUUAAGACAGCAGCAGGAACAGGAAGCUGACUGAACACCAGGGCUGCUCCCUGUUCUGGACCGCGUGUUGCCUGUUACUUCUGCUGCUUCCCUGGCUUGAUUUCCUGGCAUCUGAUUUGUGGUUGAGAUCGCAAGUUUGUCUUAUGCUUCUGAUCUUCCAGUAUCCUGUCCCAGCUGACUCUCGACUCCUGUCAUGUGAGUGUGGACUCUGG